rnacentral:lncRNA from 1 species
GGGAACUCCAACACAAAGAUAUGGACGUGUCAAAAGUACCCUGAGUUCCUUCCAGAAAAGGAUGGUACGGCCGUGCUUGCACGACUUGGCGGGGACACUGCCGUGCCCCCAGAUUAUGAUACAAAUAUCGAGUGAUUAUCGGUACGACCGGGAACAUGGGAAGAGUAGCAAUUAUCGCCACUCAAUGUCUACAUUCGUUGAGUGGCAAGACAAAAGUGAAGUCCAAACUGGAGACACAGAGCACAGAUUAAGACACACUCUUCUAGUGGCUUGAGGAAGUUCCGGUCUAAAAUUGAACUUUAUCCUUGUUGUCAGCUAUCUGCCGCAGUUUCAAUAAGAUUUGUGCAGUUGCAAUCUGUACUACCAGUUUUUAUAAAUUGAAAAGGGAUGGAGAGGA